rnacentral:lncRNA from 1 species
CUCUUUCUUGUCGUUCUUGCUUCUGUUCUUUGCCUUUCUAGCGUCCUUGCUUCCUGCGUUUUUCCGUUAGCCUGUUACAGCUUAGUGGGUUCGGCAGUAGUAGUAUAGUACCACUGCGCGCCACUGCCAGUAUUGAGGGUCUGUCUCAGACGGGCCUUUCUGCAGUUGAGAGAAGAGAACGUAGGAGUCUUUCUGAGCUACAGAUGUUUCGCCAACUGCAGCAGCUCUCGAGACUUUUCGACCAAAUUGCUGUUGUGAAGACUCGGUCCAAUUCAACCUUGAGGAGAUAGAUGGUCGGACGGUUGGACCGGAUAUUCUUGGGUCAACAGCGAAACGAACAGAUGGGGGGGCUUCACAUUUUAAAAGGCUACCAGUCAUGCAUUGAGUGACAAGCAGAGGUAUUGGGCCCUCUGUCGUAGGUGAAGCAGCCUCAUCGAGUAUCUGUCAGUUGUGUCACGCUGUCGCGCGACGUACGCUGACUGUUGUUGCCCCUGGAGUUCCCCAUAAAAGGCCAUUCAUAGUAUGGGAAACGCAGGCCGUAUCACACCGAUCACAGAAAAACCGUCUGGAUUUCUACCGUCUGGCUUAUUCUGGCCGUACAGCAUCAGCCAUGACUUUUGGUAGCCGACAAGUAUCACGGAUGUCUUGUAGUGCCAGCGACAUGGCCGAGCCUAUGGGGAUGCGCAUCAGCUAGGACGUUCCGUAAGUACUAAGCGGCGGGUAACCCCGCGUGUUGACCUUUCGCCACAUACCCGCAAAACGUCCCCUUUGGAAGAGCUUCUGCCUGAAAACUCCUGCUCUUCGUUUGGAACGCCAUGGUGAACACCAAUUGCAGCAGGCCUGCUGCCCAAAGUUAACGCUUAAGAAAACCCUACGAUGACGAAGUUGCGGGAUAAAGCAUACCCGAAGAGAGACAGCGAAACGGGAGUGGCCAAGCAAGUGAACAAUUUACGUGUUAUACUGGCUACCGAGCAGCGUGCAUAGGGCAACACGUCUCGGGCAAAAAUGCCCCAGAUGCAAGUCGAGGCCUCUUAAGGUGAAGAUAGCGAAGGCAAGUUCGUCAGGACCUGUCUCAAGAGAAGAACGGGAAACCGGAUGAACGCUGCUGUAAACACAAUAGUCCAGAAAGCCGACCGUGAAUCGGACAGUGGCCGUGGCCAGGGAGGUUGCAACCGGAGACCCCAAGAAGCCUCACCCCAGUGAAGAGAAUCGGGGGCGACAAGCAAAUCAAUCGCUGCCAAUAAAAUCGAGAUACCAUGGUACCGACUCCCGUCCUGCCGCACACAAGGAAGCAGGACCUAGGAUCGGCUGCUUCACCCCAGUCCAUUUGAUGGUGUGUCGUUGCGUCGCUGCCUCUGGUCCCUCAUUUCUGCCUCUGUGGCAUGUUUAUAGUAUCCGUCGUUGCUGCAAAUUUACUUUCGCAGAAUUGCAGCUCGCGUUCUAAGGUUGCAGCCCGCCUGCUAGUGAUGCAGAGAGCAUGGUGUGCCGACACCGAACAGCCGAAGUCGGUACAUACGAUUGUGUAUUUUUGCAUCACGGUCCCCUCAGUGCCCCCACUCGUCACGGGUACGGCACCAGAGCCCCAAGAAAGGGUCAUGUGACCAAUAUAUUUUGUUGUCGGCACGCCCACGGUAUGCUGCGAUUUGCCGUUCGGGAGGCUAAGUCGCACACUCACAAUGUGCUGGCCAAGCCCUGUGCUGCCCUAGCGAUAGCGUUGCUGUCGGAGUAAAUUAGUUUUCCUACUAAAACGAACUCGACCGGGCGUGAACCAAAGCCAUAGCUGCAUACAGAUUUCGAAACUAAAAAAACCAUAUCGUUGCCUAACUUUCGUAUAAGACCGACCCC